GCGAAGAACCUUACCUACUCUUGACAUCCAGAGAACUUAGCAGAGAUGCUUUGGUGCCUUCGGGAACUCUGAGACAGGUGCUGCAUGGCUGUCGUCAGCUCGUGUUGUGAAAUGUUGGGUUAAGUCCCGCAACGAGCGCAACCCUUAUCCUUGUUUGCCAGCGAGUAAUGUCGGGAACUCCAGGGAGACUGCCGGUGAUAAACCGGAGGAAGGUGGGGACGACGUCAAGUCAUCAUGGCCCUUACGAGUAGGGCUACACACGUGCUACAAUGGCGCAUACAGAGGGCGGCCAACUUGCGAAAGUGAGCGAAUCCCAAAAAGUGCGUMGURGUCCGGAUUGGAGUCUGCAACUCGACUCCAUGAAGUCG
rnacentral:rRNA from 1 species